UGAAUACGAGAUGCUACGGCGUCGAAGCAGUCUAUGUCAUACUUCCAAGAAAAGCUCGCACUGUCAUAAACAAAUAAUGCCUGUACCAUAACCGACACAGGUGGGUAGGUAGAGUAUACUAAGGGGCGCGAGAUAACUCUCUCUAAGGAACUCGGCAAAAUGACUCCGUAACUUCGGGAGAAGGAGUGCCUUAUUUAUAAGGUUGCAAUAACAAGAUCCAAGCAACUGUUUAUCAAAAACACAGGUCUCCGCUAAGUCGUAAGACGAUGUAUGGGGGCUGACGCCUGCCCAGUGCCAGAAGGUUAAAGAAGUUGGUUAGCAUUCGCGAAGCUGAUAACUGAAGCCCUGGUGAACGGCGGCCGUAACGAUAACGGUCCUAAGGUAGCGAAAUUCCUUGUCGGGUAAGUUCCGACCCGCACGAAAGGCGUAAUGAUUUGGAUACUGUCUCGGAGAGGGGCUCGGUGAAAUAGACUUGUCUGUGAAGAUGCGGACUACCUGCACCAGGACAGAAAGACCCUAUGAAGCUUUACUGUAACUUGAGAUUGAAAUUGGACUUUACUUGCGCAGUAUAGGUGGGAGGCGUUGAUAAUAUUCUUGCGGGAUUAUUUGAGCCAUCAGUGAGAUACCACUCUUGUAAUGUUAGAUUUCUAACUUUGUAUCAUUAUCUGGUCAAAGGACAGUUUCAGGCGGGCAGUUUGACUGGGGCGGUCGCCUCCUAAACGGUAACGGAGGCGCACAAAGGUUUCCUCUGAACGGGUAGAAAUCGUAUCUAGAGUGUAAAGGCAUAAGGAAGCUUGACUGUGAGACCUACAAGUCGAGCAGGGACGAAAGUCGGUCUUAGUGAUCUGACGGUGCUGAGUGGAAAGGCCGUCACUCAACGGAUAAAAGUUACUCUAAGGAUAACAGGCUGAUCUCCCCCAAGAGUUCACAUCGACGGGGAGGUUUGGCACCUCGAUGUCGGCUCAUCGCAUCCUGGGGCGGUAGUACGUCCCAAGGGUUGGGCUGUUCGCCCAUGAAAGCGGUACGCGAGCUGGGUUCAGAACGUCGUGCGACAGUUCGGUCCAUAUCCGGUGUAGGCGUUAGAAUAUUGAGAGGAGCCUUCUUUAGUACGAGAGGACCGAGAAGGACAUACCUCUGGUGUACCAGUUAUCGUGCCAACGGUAAACGCUGGGUAGCUAUGUAUGGAGUGGAUAACCGCUGAAAGCAUCUAAGUGGGAAGCCCACCUCAAGAUAAG
rnacentral:rRNA from 1 species